AGUAACCGAAAGGUUGCAAGUUCGAAUCACCGAGCUGACAAGGCUGUCAAAUUCUAUGAGCGUUGCCAGAUUGGAUUUAAAAGAACAAAAAAAGGAAAUGGCUUCCUGGAUACUAAGCAGCUGAUUGGUCGGCCCCCAUUGCUGAUUGGAGCUCUGACCCUGUCCUCUCGUCAGGAGAUACAGCUGUUUUCAAUUACCGACUCCUUCUGCAGCUUUAAAAGCCAGUGUUCCUUUGUUAGAGAGCUUAUUGGGAUUUGAUUGUAGCAGGGUGUUGUAUUCCCUCCAAGAAGCGUGGGUAACACAACUUUUGACUUUUGUAUGAAUUUCACUGAAAAUAGCAAUAAUUAAUCAACACACUACUGUAAAUAAAUGGACACAACCUGUCAUAAAACAGAAAUUGCUCUGUAAAUAAAUGGUGAGAAAUAC
ensembl:lncRNA